rnacentral:rRNA from 1 species
UACGGGGGGGGCAAGCGUUGUCCGGAAUUACUGGGCGUAAAGGGCGCGUAGGCGGCCAACUAAGUCGGACGUGAAAUCCCUCAGCUUAACUGGGGAACUGCGUCCGAUACUGGAUGGCUUGAGUUUGGAAGAGGGAUGCGGAAUUCCAGGUGUAGCGGUGAAAUGCGUAGAUAUCUGGAGGAACACCGGUGGCGAAGGCGGCAUCCUGGACCAACACUGACACUGAGGAGCGAAAGCCAGGGGAGCAAACGGG